UAAAUUGAGAGUUUGAUCCUGGCUCAGGACGAACGCUGGCGGCGUGCCUAAUACAUGCAAGUCGAACGAAACUUUCUUACACCGAAUGCUUGCAUUCACCGUAAGAAGUUGAGUGGCGGACGGGUGAGUAACACGU
rnacentral:rRNA from 1 species